rnacentral:rRNA from 1 species
UAGUCUCGCACAGAUGCAUAUCAAUAAGCGGAGGAAAAGAAACUAACAAGGAUUCCCCUAGUAACGGCGAGUGAAGCGGGAAGAGCUCAAAUUUGAAAUCUUUAAAGGGUUUCCCUUUACGAAUUGUAGUUUAAAGAAGUGUUUUCUGUUGAGGUUUUGGUAAAAGUUCUUUGGAAUAGGACAUCAUAGAGGGUGAGAAUCCCGUAUUUGACCUUUACUUUCAACUUUGUGAUACACUUUCAAAGAGUCGGAUUGUUUGGGAAUGCAGUCCAAAAUGGGUGGUAAAUUUCAUCUAAAGCUAAAUAUUGGCGAGAGACCGAUAGCGAACAAGUACCGUGAGGGAAAGAUGAAAAGGACUUUGAAAAGAGAGUUAAACAGUACGUGAAAUUGUCAAAAGGGAAGCGUUUGACACCAGUGUUGUUUUUCUGAAAAUCAAUUAAAGAACUGUUUAUGCUAAGCUGUUUAGACUUUAUCAGCUAAUCUGUUUAGUUUUGAGCUUUUCUUUAAUGCACUUUUCAGUUAACAAGUCAACAUCAAUUUCUUUUGCUGUAAAAAAGCUUGAGGAAGGUGGCUUGAGAUUCGUCUUAAGUGUUUAUAGCCUCUUGCCUAUGCAGUCGGAGAGAUUGAGGUCUGCAGCGUAGAUCCUUCGGGGCUAAAUGCAUUUGUGCUAAGUUAUAGCAUUUUAUAGACAACUUGUUGACUAUGAUUUGUCUUGUAGCUUACUCGCUUAUGUUAUUUUACCUACGCUUAGGAUGUUGAAGACUCUACAGAGAUA